rnacentral:rRNA from 1 species
UACGGGGGGAGCAAGCGUUGUUCGGAUUUACUGGGCGUAAAGGGCGCGUAGGCGGUCGUGACAAGUCACUUGUGAAAUCUCCGGGCUUAACUCGGAACGGUCAAGUGAUACUGUCGGACUAGAGUACAGAAGGGGCAACUGGAAUUCUCGGUGUAGCGGUGAAAUGCGUAGAUAUCGAGAGGAACACCUGCGGCGAAGGCGGGUUGCUGGGCUGAUACUGACGCUGACAGCGCGAAAGCCAGGGGAGCAAACGGG